CAACUAAUGGAUUCCAAACGCUCAGGGGGAUCGUGAUGCUACUUCCCUAUAUCAGCACAUGCUCUACUGAUAAUUGCUGAGGUCCUCAGCAUCAGGUGUCGUGCCUA
rnacentral:misc_RNA from 1 species